rnacentral:rRNA from 1 species
AAACUUUCAACAACGGAUCUCUUGGCUCUGGCAUCGAUGAAGAACGCAGCGAAACGCGAUAAGUAAUGUGAAUUGCAGAAUUUAGUGAAUCAUCGAAUCUUUGAACGCACAUUGCGCCCGCCAGUAUUCUGGCGGGCAUGCCUGUCCGAGCGUCAUUACAACC